GACGAACGCUGGCGGCGUGCCUAAUACAUGCAAGUAGGACGCAGUUGCGAACGGGUGAGUAACGCGUAGGUAACUACCUAUUAGAGGGGGAUAACUAUUGGAAACGAUAGCUAAUACCGCAUACUAGUAGAUGGACCUGCGUUGUAUUAGCUAGUAGGUAGGGUAAUGGCCUACCUAGGCAACGAUACAUAGCCGACCUGGGAGGGGUGGCGGGCACACUGGGACUGAGAAACGGCCCGGGCUCCUACGGGAGGCAGCGGUAGGGAGUCUUCGGGAAUGGGGGGAACCCUGACCGAGCAGCGCCGCGGGAGUGAAGGAGGUUUUCGGGUCGGUAAGCUCUGUUGUUAAGGAAGCGGUACUUAACCAGAAAGGGACGGCUAACUACGUGCCAGCAGCCGCGGUAAUUC
rnacentral:rRNA from 1 species